CCAUAGCUCAGCUGGAUAGAGCGCCGGACUUCGAAUCCGUAGGUCGUAGGUUCGAAUCCUACUGG
rnacentral:tRNA from 1 species